GAGUUCAAGAGUACGUGAAACUGCUUAGAGGUUAAGCCCGAUGAACCUGAAUAUCCAUUAUGGAAAAUUCAUCACUAAUACUAUGGUAUUUAAAAAAUAUUAUAGAAAUAGUGUGCAAUUUUUCCAUAUAAGGACAUUGUAAUCUGUUAAUGUAUUAUAUAUUUAUUAAAAGAUCUUAUACUUAAGUUUAUUCAAAUUAGUUAUUUUCGAAUUUCUAACAUAGAAUAAAUGUAUUUGAUUUAAUAAAUCAUUGACAGAUUUAAUUAUAAUAUAGUGCUUAAAUUUUGUAAAAAAUUUUACAAUAAUAUGACAAUUCCAUUUGAUUGUAUUUAUUGUAUGCGCUUAUAUGAUUAACAAUGCGAUAGAUUCAGGAUACCUUCGGGACCCGUCUUGAAACACGGACCAAGGAGUCUAACAUAUGUGCAAGUCAUUGGGUAUUUUUAAUAAAACCCAAUGGCAUAAUUAACUUAACUGUUUUAUAUUUUAUAUAAUAUGGGAUUAGUUUAUAAUUUAUUAUGAAUUAUUAAUUCAAUCCCGGGGCGUUCUAUAUAGUUAUGUAUAAUGAUAUUUAUAUUAUUUAUGCCUCUAACU
rnacentral:rRNA from 1 species